UGGGGAAUAUUGGACAAUGGGCGCAAGCCUGAUCCAGCAAUGCCGCGUGGGUGAAGACGGCCUGCGGGUUGUAAAGCCCUUUAAGCGGGGAGGAACGCCGGAACGCGAAUACCGUUUCGGACUGACGUUACCCGCAGAAUAAGCACCGGCUAACUCCGUGCCAGCAGCCGCGGUAAUACGGGGGGUGCGAGCGUUAAUCGGAAUUACUGGGCGUAAAGCGUGCGUAGGCGGUGCAAUCAGUCAGCCGUGAAAGCCCCGGGCUUAACCUGGGAAUGGCGGUUGAGACGGUUGGACUAGAGUGGGCUAGAGGAUCGUGGAACUCCCGGUGUAGCGGUGAAAUGCGUAGAGAUCGGGAAGAACACCGAUGGCGAAGGCAGCGGUCUGGGGCCACACUGACGCUGAGGCACGACGGCGUGGGGAGCAAACA
rnacentral:rRNA from 1 species